rnacentral:rRNA from 1 species
GAUGAACGCUGGCGGCGAGCCUAAUACAUGCAAGUCGAGCGAAUGGAUUAAGAGCUUGCUCUUAUGAAGUUAGCGGCGGACGGGUGAGUAACACGUGGGUAACCUGCCCAUAAGACUGGGAUAACUCCGGGAAACCGGGGCUAAUACCGGAUAACAUUUUGAACCGCAUGGUUCGAAAUUGAAAGGCGGCUUCGGCGGUCACUCAUGGAUGGACCCGCGUCGCAUUAGCUAGGUGGUGAGGUAACGGCGCACCAAGGCAACGAUGCGUAGCCGACCUGGGUGGGUGGUCGGCCAAACUGGGACGGAGACACGGCCCAGACUCCUACGGGAGGCGGCAGGAGGGAAUCUUCCGCAAUGGACGAAAGUCUGACGGAGCAACGCCGCGUGAGUGAUGAAGGCUUUCGGGUCGUAAAACUCUGUUGUUAGGGAAGAACUAGUGCUAGUUGGAUAAGCUGGCACCUUGACGGUACCUAACCAGAAAGCCACGGCUAACUACGUGCCAGCCGCCGCGGUAA